UACGGGGGGGGCAAGCGUUGUUCGGAAUUACUGGGCGUAAAGGGCUCGUAGGUGGCCAACUAAGUCAGACGUGAAAUCCCUCGGCUUAACCGGGGAACUGCGUCUGAUACUGGAUGGCUUGAGUUUGGGAGAGGGACGCGGAAUUCCAGGUGUAGCGGUGAAAUGCGUAGAUAUCUGGAGGAACACCGGUGGCGAAGGCGGCGUCCUGGACCAAUACUGACGCUGAGGAGCGAAAGCGUGGGGAGCAAACAGG
rnacentral:rRNA from 1 species